UGUUUAGUUUUGGAUUUGGGGUUUGGAGGCCAUGUUUGUUUGUUUGUUGGAUUGUGAUCCUGGGAUUGUGGUUGUGGUAGAGGCCAAGUUUGUAGUCAAGGAGUUGCAUCCUGGAGGCCAUGUUUAUUGGCUGCAUCGUAGUCUUGGAGUUGUGGUUGUGGUGGAGGUCACGUUUACACAAUAGCUGCUGGCCCCUGCUGCUGGUCACCAGUGUGAAAAAUCCGUGGCUCUGCCACUGGGACUGUGAGCUGGACUUGGGACAGACUUGGCAAUGUGGCACUCGAUGUUGGAGGCUGCCACAGUUCAACUCUUCAACAAGUGUUCAAGAAAUAUGGCGAUGAUGAUGAGGCACGCUAGUGAUGCUCGGUGCUCGCAAAUUCUGUAAACAUUGGAUUGGACUUUUAUAAAGAUCUUUUUAUAAAUAAUAAAUGAGAGCUUUUUCUUCUUAUAGCAACCAGGAUAAAUUAUAUUGGAUAACCAACUUUGUUUCGUUGUGUGUGUGUGUGUGUGUGUGUGUGUGUGUGUGUGUGUGUGUGUGUGUGUGUGUGUGUGUGUGAGAGAGAGAGAGAGAGAGAGAGAGAGAGAGAGAGAGACCCUGUGGUGAACGAUCAGAGAAAAGUCUGAUCUCCCACAUGGAUCACAGAUGCCCCAUUAAACAACACAGACGUCUCCCUGUGGGCACAGAGAGAUUAAAUAAUCACACACUGGGAACCCCUGCUGAGAUCUUCCCACUCGCUUGACGUUCCAGCUGUGGCACAGCCCAAACACAUCCAUCACACACUUCAAACGUAUCUGAUGGGUCUACAAUGGAUAUGUUACACUUCUAAUAUUUUGUAGCCAUCAGAAAAGCUGUCAUUGGUAUGAACCCACAAAGCCUCAGUGCAUCUAGGUGCCAUCUUCUCCUGCUAAGCCACGCCCACACACCACACACACCAGGCCACCUGCUUCCAGUGCCCCAUUUCUGAAGUUUUGGCAGAUGCCCU